UCCUUCACUGCUUUCCUCUCAAUUUUGACAGCUUUAUCAUUGCUCAUAUUUGCACUUCUUGCACUUCUUAUUCUUAUGAUUUGCAGAAGGUGGAAAGAGCCAGUCAGAAGUGAAACAAGCCAAGAUCAGAACAUUUAUAGCAAUGUGUCCGCAAGUGCAGUGAAAAGCGAGCAGCUCCAAUCAAAGCCAUGUGAAGAUGAGAACACCAGCACCAUUAACCCUGAACACACAUUCAAACAUGAUCUCCCCGACGAAAGCAUCUACGCAAACUGUUGAAGUGAAAAGUAGCAUGUUUUAAAGGGGUCAUGUGAUGUUG